rnacentral:rRNA from 1 species
CGGGUGCACUGAUCCAGCCGGGCCUUUCCCUCUGUGGAACCCCCAUGGCCUUCACUGGCUGUGGUGGGGAAACAGGACUUUUACUUUGAAAAAAUUAGAGUGCUCCAGGCAGGCCUAUGCUCGAAUACAUUAGCAUGGAAUAAUAGAAUAGGACGUGUGGUUCUAUUUUGUUGGUUUCUAGGACCGCCGUAAUGAUUAAUAGGGACAGUCGGGGGCAUCAGUAUUCAAUUGUCAGAGGUGAAAUUCUUGGAUCUAUUGAAGACUAACUACUGCGAAAGCAUUUGCCAAGGAUGUUUUCAUUGAUAAGGAACGAAAGUUAGGGGAUCGAAGACGAUCAGAUACCGUCGUAGUCUUAACUAUAAACUAUGCCGACUAGGGAUCGGACGAUGUUAUUCUUUGACGCGUUCGGCACCUUUCGAGAAAUCAAAGUGCUUGGGCUCCAGGGGGAGUAUGGUCGCAAGGCUGAAACUUAAAGAAAUUGACGGAAGGGCACCACCAGGGGUGGAACCUGCGGCUUAAUUUGACUCAACACGGGGAAACUCACCAGGUCCAGACACAGUGAGGAUUGACAGAUUGAGAGCUCUUUCUUGAUUCUGUGGGUGGUGGUGCAUGGCCGUUCUUAGUUGGUGGAGUGAUUUGUCUGCUUAAUUGCGAUAACGAACGAGACCUUAACCUGCUAAAUAGCCCGUACUGCUUUGGCAGUUCGCCGGCUUCUUAGAGGGACUAUCGG